rnacentral:rRNA from 1 species
CUACGGGGUGCACCAGUGAGGAAUAUUGGUCAAUGGGCGCAAGCCUGAACCAGCCAUGUCGCGUGCAGGAUGACUGCCCUAUGGGUUGUAAACUGCUUUUUUACAGGAAUAAUUGCAUCUACGUGUAGGUGUUUGAAGGUACUGUAGGAAUAAGGAUCGGCUAACUCCGUGCCAGCAGCCGCGGUAAUACGGAGGAUUCGAGCGUUAUCCGGAUUUAUUGGGUUUAAAGGGUCCGUAGGCGGGCGAUUAAGUCAGUGGUGAAAUCUUUCGGCUCAACCGGAAAACUGCCAUUGAUACUGGUUGUCUUGAAUAUAGUUGAGGUAGGCGGAAUACGUUAUGUAGCGGUGAAAUGCAUAGAUAUAACGUAGAACACCGAUUGCGAAGGCAGCUUACUAAGCUAUUAUUGACGCUGAUGGACGAAAGCGUGGGGAGCGAACAGGAUUAGAUACCCGAGUAGUC